AAGAACUGAAACUAAUGCAUAGCAACAUAUAAUUAGCAGGAGACUUUUCCUGAACUAGGUUGCAUAAGCAAGAAAGUGCAGAAUAUAGCUACAGAUCCACUAGGACUAAGUUGACAUAAUUGUCCUAAUACAGGAAAAAUAAGUUUUCAAAACCAUGGGCAAAACAACUUAACUGCCACAGAAACUUCCAAUCCAAACCAUCUUCCAACAACAGGGCGGCAACCUGAAAUGACAAAGCUAGGAUAAAACCCCCAGAAGAAGAAGAAAGAUUGUAAAGCUAAUCACCUACAUUGCGGUGCAAAUGCUUGACUGAAGGCUUAGUUACAACCAUCAAACACAGCCUUUCACUUCCUAUCUACUAUCCCAAGCUCAAGUCUUUCUACCACGGCUCUCGAACACUGCCUUUCUAGUCCUCCCUUUCUCUUCAACUGAAGGACGAUCACUAAAAGUCUUCUGUUUCAUUCGGUUUUGCUCCUUGAUAGACCUGACCAUAUCCAUAGCCAUAUCCUGGUGCUCUCUUGUCUGUGAAUGCAUAUCUAGGCCCUCAACGGUUUCACAAUCAACCUUGCAAAUGCGGCACCAUCCCAUACUCGUGGGCUUCCUCUUUCUUGGUCUAUCAAAGGAGUCCACAUCACCUGCAUAAAGUCCGUGAUUCGGAUACCCCGGAACAGGAUACCUGCUCCUGAAGCCAGGCUCCCCAAACUGUGGCAUACCAGGUUUGUUGCGUCCAACUGAUUCAUCAAAACCAGGAAUAUCUCCAAACCCAGACAACUCCCCCAUAUAAGCACGGCCAGCGAAGGAACCAAAGCCACCAGGUUUAUCAAAACGUAAAUGACUUGGUAAUUUCGGAGGAUCCAAAGACUCAUCAUGAUGCAAAUGACUCGGCAUGUCUUUUCCAAACAGAUCACCACUCUGGACAUGUUUGUAAGGACGACCAAAGGUAGUAUGCUCACCACCUCUCAAAUCCCCAAGACCAUCAGUCUCUACUCCAUGUGGAUGGCCAGGCAAAGCUUGGAACCUACUAUUAGAGUAUAAGCCGCCAGCUAGAUUGGAAGGUAAAUUGAAAUGUCCUGGCCCUUCAAUAAAUUGACGGGGCUCUCUGCCACCAGUAUCAUCAAAACCUGAGUGACUUACAAAUCCACGUUGUGGAAUGUUAAAUAACUCCCCAUCAGGGUUUCUGGCAGACAAAUAAUCCAAAUGAUGCACACUGAAUCCAGAUCCUCCUCUUUUUCUAUCAUCGUCAUGAGGACCAAGUGGUGCUUCUCUUUCUCCACUAUCCUUGAAAUGCAUCGAACCAGGAGGAUGAUGUGGAGGCAAUAAUCUGUUCGGUGGAACCCCGGUACUGGCCUCAAAUUUUGAUCCAGAAUCAUAUCCUAAUCCGUGAGGAGGUUUGUCAUGUGGCCGUGAUCCUUGAUCAGAAGGCACCGGUAAAGGAAUUAAAUGCUCCCCCAUAGGCGCCUUCAACCUUUUAUCCCUAGCAGAUUCCAUACUUCUAGGUUGGCCAAAUGGAACCUUCUCAAAAGACCCUGAGGAAAAUGGGUUUGAUUGAUUUCCUUCAAAACAAUUCACCCUUUGGUUUUGAAACAUUUCAGCCUCUGCUGGAUUAACAGAGUGUUGUGUUCCACUAGGAAUUUCAGCACCACUUAACAGUGCUCUUCCUACUCCCGUAAUCCCCUCUGGGAACUCACCUGGUGGAGGAAAAUGACCAUGCCCCCUAGCAAAGGUUGUAAUAGACCCUGGACCAGGGAUACCACCAAGGGGGGCACUACUAGGCUGCUUCAAGAAUUGUGGACGAUGAUCAAGAGAAUUCAAUGGCUGACCAGCCUGAGGUACAUUCCCUGAAGGCAUCAUUGCAGUGGGGGGAUAUCCAGGGAGUUGGCCAUGAGAAGUACUGCCUGCAGGUCGCACUGGUGAUAUUAUCAUAGGACCAACGGGCCUUUGCUGAGUAGACGGUCCAUAUUUCGGUUGUGG
rnacentral:misc_RNA from 1 species